rnacentral:rRNA from 1 species
UACGAAGGGGGCUAGCGUUGCUCGGAAUCACUGGGCGUAAAAGGGUGCGUAGGCGGGGUCUUUUAAGUCAGGGGUGAAAUCCUGGAAGCUCCGAACUCCAGAACUGCCUUUGAUACUGAAGAUCUUGAGUUCGGGAGAGGUGAGUGGGAACUGCGAGUGUAGAGGUGAAAUUCGUAGAUAUUCGGAAGAACACCAGUGGCGAAGGCGGCUCACUGGUCCGGUACCUGGACGCUGAGGUGCGAAAGCGGUGGGGAGCAAACAGGGAUUAAGAUAACC